UACGUAGGGUGCAAGCGUUAAUCGGAAUUACUGGGCGUAAAGCGUGCGCAGGCGGUGAUGUAAGACAGUUGUGAAAUCCCCGGGCUCAACCUGGGAACUGCAUCUGUGACUGCAUUGCUGGAGUGCGGCAGAGGGGGAUGGAAUUCCGCGUGUAGCAGUGAAAUGCGUAGAUAUCGAGAGGAACACCAGUGGCGAAGGCGAGUCCCUGGACAACACCUGACACUGAGGCACGAAAGCCGGGGAGCAAACAGG
rnacentral:rRNA from 1 species